AACGAACGCUGGCGGCAUGCCUAACACAUGCAAGUCGAACGAUGCCUUCGGGCAUAGUGGCGCACGGGUGCGUAACGCGUGGGAAUCUGCCCUUGGGUUCGGAAUAACUCAGAGAAAUUUGAGCUAAUACCGGAUGAUGACGUAAGUCCAAAGAUUUAUCGCCCAAGGAUGAGCCCGCGUAAGAUUAGCUAGUUGGUGGGGUAAAGGCCUACCAAGGCGACGAUCUUUAGCUGGUCUGAGAGGAUGAUCAGCCACACUGGGACUGAGACACGGCCCAGACUCCUACGGGAGGCAGCAGUGGGGAAUAUUGGACAAUGGGCGAAAGCCUGAUCCAGCAAUGCCGCGUGAGUGAUGAAGGCCUUAGGGUUGUAAAGCUCUUUUACCAGGGAUGAUAAUGACAGUACCUAGAGAAUAAGCUCCGGCUAACUCCGUGCCAGCAGCCGCGGUAAAGUCUGUACU
rnacentral:rRNA from 1 species